rnacentral:rRNA from 1 species
UACGAGAGGCCCAAACGUUAUUCGGAAUUACUGGGCUUAAAGAGUUCGUAGGCGGCAUUGCAAGUAGGGUGUGAAAGCCCUCGGCUCAACCGAGGAAUUGCGCUCUAAACUGCAGUGCUUGAGGAACCUAGAGGUGAGCAGAACAGAUGGUGGAGCGGUGAAAUGCGUAGAUAUCGAGAGGAACACCUGCGGCGAAGGCGGGUUGCUGGGCCGACACUGACGCUGAUGCGCGAAAGCCAGGGGAGCGAGCGGG